CCUACGGGAGGCAGCAGUGAGGAAUAUUGGUCAAUGGACGCAAGUCUGAACCAGCCAUGCCGCGUGCAGGAAGACGGCUCUAUGAGUUGUAAACUGCUUUUGUACGAGGGUAAACUCAGAUACGCGUAUCUGUCUGAAAGUAUCGUACGAAUAAGGAUCGGCUAACUCCGUGCCAGCAGCCGCGGUAAUACGGAGGAUUCAAGCGUUAUCCGGAUUUAUUGGGUUUAAGGGGUGCGUAGGCGGUCGGAUAAGUUAGAGGUGAAAUCCCGAGGCUCAACUUCGGAAUUGCCUCUGAUACUGUUAGGCUAGAGAGUAGUUGCGGUAGGCGGAAUGUAUUGUGUAGCGGUGAAAUGCUUAGAGAUCAUACAGAACACCGAUUGCGAAGGCAGCUUACCAAGCUACUUCUGACGUUGAGGCACGAAAGCGUGGGGAGCAAACAGGAUUAGAUACCCGAGUAGUC
rnacentral:rRNA from 1 species